CCCCUCUCAGGGUCACACCUGGAGAGUUUACAGUACUCUACUAGCCUCGACUAUGGGAGGGAGAGUCAAGCAGAGGCCUACCCAUUCCAUUCCUAGCUUGGCUCAGUGUCUAGCCAGUGGAAAGCAAUCUGCUACAAGU